UCCAGACUCCUACGGGAGGCAGCAGUGAGGAAUAUUGGUCAAUGGACGGAAGUCUGAACCAGCCAUGCCGCGUGCAGGAAGACGGCUCUAUGAGUUGUAAACUGCUUUUGUACAAGGGUAAACCUGAAUACGUGUAUUCAGCUGAAAGUACUGUACGAAUAAGGAUCGGCUAACUCCGUGCCAGCAGCCGCGGUAAUACGGAGGAUCCAAGCGUUAUCCGGAUUUAUUGGGUUUAAAGGGUGCGUAGGCGGGCUUUUAAGUCAGCGGUAAAAAUUCGGGGCUCAACCCCGUCCGGCCGUUGAAACUGGGGGCCUUGAGUGGGCGAGAAGAAGGCGGAAUGCGUGGUGUAGCGGUGAAAUGCAUAGAUAUCACGCAGAACCCCGAUUGCGAAGGCAGCCUUCCGGCGCCCUACUGACGCUGAGGCACGAAAGUGCGGGGAUCGAACAGGAUUAGAUACCCGAGUC
rnacentral:rRNA from 1 species